AUACGAAGGGUGCAAGCGUUGUUCGGAUUUACUGGGCGUAAAGCGUCCGUAGGUGGUUUGUUAAGUCAGGGGUGAAAUCCCGGGGCCUAACCCCGGAACUGCCUUUGAUACUGGCAGGCUGGAGCGCGAUAGAGGAAGAUGGAAUAUCUGGUGUAGGGGUGAAAUCCGUAGAUAUCAGAUAGAACACCAAUGGCGAAGGCAGUCUGCUGGAUCGUUGCUGACACUGAGGGACGAAAGCGUGGGUAGCAAACAGAAUUAGAUACUCUGGUAGUCCACGCCCUAAACGAUGAAUCCUAGGUAUUGGGAUCCAUAGGGUCUCGGUGCCGCAGUUAACGCAAUAAGCAUUCCACCUGGGGAGUACGUGCGCAAGAAUGAAACUCAAAUGAAUUGGCGGGG
rnacentral:rRNA from 1 species